rnacentral:rRNA from 1 species
AACGAACGCUGGCGGCAUGCCUAACACAUGCAAGUCGAACGAGACCUUCGGGUCUAGUGGCGCACGGGUGCGUAACGCGUGGGAACCUGCCCUUAGGUUCGGAAUAACUCCCCGAAAGGGGUGCUAAUACCGGAUAAUGUCUUCGGACCAAAGAUUUAUCGCCUUUGGAUGGGCCCGCGUCGGAUUAGCUAGUUGGUAGUGUAAAAGCCUACCAAGGCGACGUUCCAUAGCUGGUCUGAGAGGAUGACCAGCCAAACUGGGACUGAGAACGGGCCCAGACUCCGCCGGGAGGAAGAAGGGGGAAAUAUUGAAAAAGGGGCGAAAGCCGAACCCACAAAGGCCGGGGGAGGAAGGAGGGCCUUGGGGUUGAAAACCUUUUUUCCCCGGGAUGAUAAUGACAGUACGGGGAAAAUAAGCCCGGGCUAACCCCGUC